rnacentral:tRNA from 1 species
AUUCUUUUAGUAUUAAYCYAGUACAAUUGACUUCCAAUCAAUUAGUUUCGGCGAAACCCGAAAAAGAAUA